GGUCAGGUAGCUCAGUUGGUAGAGCAAAGGACUGAAAAUCCUUGUGUCGGGGGUUCAAUUCCCUCCCUGACCACCA
rnacentral:tRNA from 1 species